GCACACAUGCAGUUUGCUCAUGCUGUUUGCUCACAUACUGUUUACACACAUGCUGUUUGUUAACACACUGUGAUCACACCGCUCCCACACUGUUUGCUGACCUGCUGUUUGUUCACAAGCUGUCUGCACACACACUGUUUGCUCUCAUGCUGUUUGCUCACACACUGCUUGCUCACACAGUUUGCACACGUGCUGUCAUUUCUACACCCCCAGACCCCAGACAAGAGCCGCUUUGCCUCCUCUCCUGCAGGGCCAGCCCUUGCUUGAGCCCCAGCAUCCGCAGAACGCGUGACGGGGCCAUGAGAAGGUGACAUUGGUGGCACUCCCAGAAUCUUUCCUUGGAAGACAAGCGGUGCCCAAAGGAAAUAGAGCAGAGACUCUGUCCUGCCGUGCAACACAUUCAACUGUCUGGUUCUGGCCUCUUUCUGAUUUUUUUAAAUUGCCAUCUUAAAGGUAGAAAAGGAAGAAUGGGAUAAAGCCCCUUCAAGAUCUCAUUUAGGACUUGUUUAGGUUCUCCCUUUUUAUUUUAUUUGUUCUUUUUACUUUUCUUUCCAAAUACACAUUUGCAAAAUGUGUCAAUUAUAGAAAUACAAUGCGCAUGAUCAAUUAUAACAAAGUCAUUAAAUAUGCUUUUGAAUCCUGAGAGACAAUAAUCACCAGCAUAUUCUUGAAAUUCUUGAAAAUUUAUUUUGUUGAUUGAUGUGAGUUGUUCCCUAAAAUUAUACUCUACUAAUCUUUUAUUUAUGGAAAAUUCUCAAAAUGCCUUUUCUCCUCUCUUGCAAAGAAGUUUUAUAUAAUGAGAUUUCUGAAAUGUUUUCAGGUGAUCAUUGUGUAAUUGAAAGCUCAUAGUUAUUAAAUAGGGAACAUUGCCAUUUGAACAAAAUAUGAAUGCUUUCAGGUCAUUAUUGCUCCACCGAGUUUCAGAGGGUCCUACUUCCAGAAUAAUCUGUAGACGAGCAAGUGUCAGCAGAAAUUGGCCUUGCAAAGUCAUAAACAAAACCGCGUACUGGGUGACACCAUCUUAGUACAGAAAGUUGCCAGCAGGGUCCUGACUGAGCAAGUAAGUUCCUUUGAACGCUUUUAUUUUGUAAGAAGUAUUUUCCCGUGAGCUGCAGCUACACGUAUGGUCCGAUCUACCUGCCGUGUUUACCACGAAGGAGCAAAGAAGAGCCCCUGUCCUCCCAUCCCCCACGGCAGGCGGCGGGUGGGGGGCUAGCUGUGUCCCCACCUGCCCUGAGCUGGGGCAGCUGAGCUCCUGGGGUGUGUGAAAGCAGUUUCCGGCGGGACCACUGGCAAACUGUGGCCGCUCUUCCUUCCUGCGCAGCUUAGUCUUCCCUGGAGUGAGGGAUUGCCCUUUUGUGCCCUUGUGCCUCAUCUGCUGCGUCCUUGUUACUAACUGAACCCCGGAGCCUUGGCCGGCAGUCCCGAUCUCAGCAAGCUCACUCACCAGGUUCUCUUCUUAGUCCUGUCUCCGCAGCCUCCUGACCUUCAGUCUGGACAGCUGCCCCUCCCCUGGCCCCUCCAUGCCCCUCCCAUGCCUUUCCCAGGCCCCCCAAUGCCCCUCCCCACCCGUGUCACUCCCCUGCCUCUCCCUAGCCACCCCUACGCCCCUCCCCUGUGCACAGGUUCCAUCCUGGGAACCUGGACUUGGGUUUCUGGGGUUUUAUCCUAUUUUUCCCUCUUCUUCAUUUACUUCCUUCUGGUGAAACAUCGCCCACUAGCUUCCUGAGAAAUGGGGCAUGUAAGCCGAGUUUUUGAGUUUGUAAACAUCUGGAUGUAUCUCUCCAACCUUCCCCCACCACGGUGCUAAUUAACUCAGUGGACCCUGACAUUCUAGAAAUUCAUAAGCUUUCAGUUCUGGGAAACGUUACUGAAUUACUUCUUGACGGUUUUUCUCUGCUUUGGUUUCUCUGUUCUCUCAAAUCUAUUCUUAGCUGCCUUCGUAUAGCUCCUGAAUUUGUUUAUUGAGAACCUGUGAUAAGCCAAGAUGUUUCUGCGAUACAGCAGCAAUAAGGUAAACAAAGCCCCCGCAGGCAUGGAGUUCAUAUUCUAGUGGAGGGUGACAGGCAAUGAAUGAAAAUAAAAAUAGAAUAGUAAUUAGCACCUUGCAGAGACCUAAGAGAGGACGAUGAUGUGUAGUAAGCUGGAUGGUCAGAAAGGGCCUCUCUGAGAAGGUGGCCUGGAAGCUAAAAUCCAAAUUCUGAGAAUGAAUUCUAGAAUGGCAGCAGCCAGAGUCACAAGGCAGAGACGAGCUGUGGACAGAAAGAUGGUGUGUCUGGAGUGUGGUAUUGGAGGGCAGGCAGAGGUCAGCAGAGGUGAAUCAUGUUGGCCUUGUGGACCAUGUGAGAGUGAAGUCUACCCUGCGCUGACCCCUGGGUUUUGUCACACCAUGGUGAGAGAUCAGUGCGUGAGUGGCAAGAUGGGAAUCACUGAGACUCUGUUUUACGAAAAGAGCUCUGCCAGCAGUGACUUUAUUAAGCCGUUGUGCAGGGUCGGGGUGCGGACAGGCAGGUUUUAAAGUGCUUCGGAUUAAUAAAUAAACCUUUCAGCGUGUA